GACGAACGCUGGCGGCGUGCUUAACACAUGCAAGUCGAGCGAUGAAGCACCUUCGAGUGUGAAUUAGCGGCGAACGGGUGAGGAACACGUGAGAAAUCUGCCUUCAACACUGGGAUAACUCCGGGAAACCGGGGCUAAUACCGGAUAUGAAACCUGCGGGCAUCCGCGGGUUUGGAAAGUUUUUCGGUUGAAGAUGAUCUCGCGGCCUAUCAGCUUGUUGGUGAGGUAAUGGCUCACCAAGGCGACGACGGGUAGCCGGCCUGAGAGGGCGACCGGCCACACUGGGACUGAGACACGGCCCAGACUCCUACGGGAGGCAGCAGUGGGGAAUAUUGGGCAAUGGAGGAAACUCUGACCCAGCGACGCCGCGUGCGGGAUGAAGGCCUUCGGGUUGUAAACCGCUUUCAGCAGGGAGGAAGCGAAAGUGACGGUACCUGCAGAAGAAGCACCGGCUAACUAUGUG
rnacentral:rRNA from 1 species